rnacentral:lncRNA from 1 species
AACUAGUUCUCCCCCUCCAAAUGACCCGUUCAAACCGUUCAGUUCUUUUGAUUGGCUGAAGAGGGACUGCUUGCCUGUCUUAUCCUAUCGUCGUGCCUCAUUCUGUGUGUGGGUGGGGCUUAGAGAAGCAGCAGCAGUACUACUGAGCUGACUGAAAGACCGGAAUGACCGAGUUGACUGAAAGAACGGGUCAAAUGAACGAAAGACCUAGUUGACUGAAAGAACGGGUCAAAUGAACGAAAGACCGAGUUGAACGAAAGACCGAGUGAACGAAAGAUCCAGACGGAUGAACGGGUUGAACGAAAGACCGAGUGAACGAAAGACCGAGUUGAACGAAAGACCCAGACCGAUGAACGAGUUGAACGAAAGACCGAGUGAAUGAAAGAUCCAGACGGAUGAACGAGUUGAAUGAAAGACCGAGUGAACGAAAGACCCAGACGGAUGAACGAGUUGAACGAGAGACCGAGUGAACGAAAGACCCAGACGGUGAACGAGUUGACUGAAAGACCGAGUGAACGAAAGACCCAGACGGUGAACGAGUUGAACGAGAGACCGAGUGAACGAAAGAUCCAGACAGAUGAACGAGUUGACUGAAAGACCGAGUUGAGUGGCCGCCGCACGAGGCCCGACAGCCGAGCCGGAGCGAGCGGGACAGUCACACACACACAAAGGCACACAGCUGCUGCUGCAGCAGCCAGAGGCAGAGAGACAACUAUUAAUACGCAUUUGCACUGUCUGUUGCUGUUGUCUGUACUUUUUAUUAUUGUUUUUAAUGCACCUCAAAAUAAUAAAAACCAUUAAUAAAAUAAUACCGUAUAUAUUUUGUUACUCCUACUGUAAUUUUAUAUUACAAGUGGUGCAGUGAGAUCGCAGCGUUGGACCGAGUGGACCGGGGGUGGGAAGUGGAGA